GACGAACGCUGGCGGCGUGCUUAACACAUGCAAGUCGAACGGAAAGGCCCUGCUUGCAGGGUACUCGAGUGGCGAACGGGUGAGUAACACGUGGGUGAUCUGCCCUGCUCUUCGGGAUAAGCCUGGUAAACUGGGUCUAAUACCGGCCAGGUGCCAUUUUUAGUGUGAUGGUUGGAAAGUUUUUUCGGUGUAGGAUGAGCUGGCGGCCUAUCAGCUUGUUGGUGGGGUAAUGGACUACCAAGGCGGCGACGGGUAGCCGGCCUGAGGGGGUGGACGGCCACAUUGGGACUGAGGGGCGGCCCAGACUCCGACGGGUGGGAGCAGGGGGGAAGAUUGAAGGAGGGGCGCAGGGCUGGUGCAGCGAGGCCGCGGGGGGGAUGACGGCCUUAGGGUUGUAGAAUCCUUUCGCUAGGGACGAAGCUUUUUGUGACGGUACCUAGAUAAGAAGCACCGGCUAACUACGUG
rnacentral:rRNA from 1 species